rnacentral:tRNA from 1 species
GGGAAAGUGGCUCAGUGGUAGAGUGCUUGCCUUGCAUGCAUGAGGCCCUGGGUUUGAUUCUCAGCACCA